rnacentral:rRNA from 1 species
UGACGGGGGCCCGCACAAGCGGAGGAACAUGUGGUUUAAUUCGUGAUACGCGAGGAACCUUACCCGGGCCUGAAAUGAUCUGACGAUAGAGGAAACUUUAUUUCUAGCAAUAGCAGAUGUGUAGGUGCUGCAUGGUGUCGUCAGCUCGUGCCGUGAGGUGUCGGCUUAAGUGCCAUAACGAGCGCAACCCACAUUGUUAGUUACUAACAGGUCAAGCUGAGGACUCUGACAAGACUGCCAGCGUAAGCUGGAGGAAGGUGUGGAUGACGUCAAAUCAGCACGGCCCUUACGUCCGGGGCGACACACGUGUUACAAUGGGGGGUACAAAGGGUUGCUACUUGGUGACAAGAUGCUAAUCUCAAAAGCCUCUCCCAGUUCGGAUUGGAGUCUGCAACUCGACUCCAUGAAGCUGGAUUCGCUAGUAAUCGCGCAUCAGCAUGGCGCGGUGAAUACGUUCCCGGGCCUUGUACACACCGCCCGUCAAGCCAUGGAAGCUGGGGGUACCUAAAGUACGUAACCGCAAGGAGCGUCCUAAGGUAAAACUGGUAACUGGGGCUAAGUCGUAACAAGGUAACCAAGGGCGAAUUCUG